AGUGAACGCUGGCGGUAGGCCUAACACAUGCAAGUCGAACGGCAGCACAGUAAGAGCUUGCUCUUACGGGUGGCGAGUGGCGGACGGGUGAGGAAUACAUCGGAAUCUACUUUUUCGUGGGGGAUAACGUAGGGAAACUUACGCUAAUACCGCAUACGACCUACGGGUGAAAGCAGGGGAUCUUCGGACCUUGCGCGAUUGAAUGAGCCGAUGUCGGAUUAGCUAGUUGGCGGGGUAAAGGCCCACCAAGGCGACGAUCCGUAGCUGGUCUGAGAGGAUGAUCAGCCACACUGGAACUGAGACACGGUCCAGACUCCUACGGGAGGCAGCAGUGGGGAAUAUUGGACAAUGGGCGCAAGCCUGAUCCAGCCAUACCGCGUGGGUGAAGAAGGCCUUCGGGUUGUAAAGCCCUUUUGUUGGGAAAGAAGAGCAGCAGGUUAAUACCCCGCUGUUCUGACGGUACCCAAAGAAUAAGCACCGGCUAAUUUCGUG
rnacentral:rRNA from 1 species